CAAACCAGCACAGCCGGAUAUUUACAUAUUAUUGCUAUACCACAAGUACUUAACCUCUGGCACUGUGUCGUUCACUUCACCCCAGCUCAAUUACACCCACGCUCCCUAACUCCCCCCCCUCCCGUCGACCCAAAAUUAAUGUGGUUUAUCUGGUUCCGCCCAUCAAUCACAACAGUCAGGUUCUGUGACCUGUAAAGAAAUGAUGGGAACGUCAAUGUGGGAACAAGUGUGUGCGCGUGUGGGUGUGGGUGUGAGGCUACGGUCCGGCCUACGGUAAAAGCGAGUGCCUUUGGACGAGAAGAUACACCAGCACCCUCCUGUGGUCAUUAAUGUUAGUUGCAACUCAUCUGAUCUCGUCGAUGUACUGCUACGCCCAAUGUGACGUAUUUGUGGUUGCUUUCUUACAUGUCGGAAGAGUUAUAAUUGAUCUUACUGAUGCUUAAUAAUAAUAAUAAUAAUAUAUAAAGCUAAAAUAAGUAUUUUAUUCAAUGUUUAUGUGAAGUAAGUAGUAGCCUAUGUGUUUAUACCGUGACGUACAACUGUUAUCAACGCGGAAAUACAACCGGUGCUUAUGUUCACACAUACUGACCUACUCAAAUUGACAGAAACUCCCUAUUAUUGAUGCGGACCCUUAAGGAAUAGAAGUCAACAACCACUGAGCCAGAGGAAGGACAGGGACCCUCGUCUCUUAUGUCACAUUGCUGCGGUGACUAGUCUUUGAACAGCAAGCACCAGAGGUCAGAGGUCAGCUGUUGGCUAACAACCUAAACUGUCUUGAUUUGCUCUUGUUAGUGACCUGAACGUCCACUAGAGGGGGGCAGAAGUAUGACGAGAGUAAAAGGAACCACCCAUCCCAUCCGACAACACAUUUCAGCACCACCACUGUGGACCGAGAGAAACAACGAUACAGGUAGAGUGUGACAGUGUGGAGGAAGUAUCCCCUUCAUGCUGCAAAAACUCAUAAACACGUUUAUCCGGACAUCUCCCCGUGUUUGAAGGUAAAACAAUACGUCAAUAUCCUCUAAAAACGGAAAACUACAGCCAAGUCAGCUCCGUUCCAGCUUAGCUAUGGCUCCCUCUAGCUGCGCCUCGCCUCCUUGCUAAUGCCCUAAUGCCUUGGCCCUCCCAGUAGUAUCACACUAAAAUACCAUCUAAACAUGUAUGAAAACUCGACUUUCUCUGUUCAAAUGUGAAGUUUAUUGUUCCACGUUGAUUUCUGAACAACAAAUGGCCCCAUUGGACCCAGUAGAACGCAGGAU